rnacentral:tRNA from 1 species
UGGAGAGAUGGCCGAGCGGUCGAAGGCGCACGCUUGGAAAGCGUGUGAUCCGCAAGGAUCCGAGGGUUCGAAUCCCUCUUUCUCCGA